rnacentral:rRNA from 1 species
UACGUAGGGGGCUAGCGUUGUCCGGAAUCAUUGGGCGUAAAGCGCGUGUAGGCGGUCCGGUAAGUCCGCUGUGAAAGUCGGGGGCUCAACCCUCGAAUGCCGGUGGAUACUGUCGGGCUAGAGUGCGGAAGAGGCGAGUGGAAUUCCUGGUGUAGCGGUGAAAUGCGCAGAUAUCAGGAGGAACACCGGUGGCGAAGGCGGUUCUCUGGGCCUUACCUGACGCUGAGGAGCGAAAGCGUGGGGAGCAAACAGG